AGAGUUAUGUCUAUGAAUUGAAAAAAAAAUCCUCGCCUUCACGGAGCUCUCAUUGUAGUGCGAGGGCUGGUCUUGAACUUGGCAACUGAUUCACACAGUCUUUCACUAGUCAGAGCCUGAGUACUUACCUGCCAUCUACUGGAGAUCAGCAAGGGAACUAGAGGUCAAGUGGAAGCCUUCCUCAGAUUGAAUUCGCUCCUUACAGACCUCGUCUGGCCUGGAACUAGAGCGAGUUGAAAAGGGCACUGUGAAGACAUCACUUUUAAGAUGAAGAUAAAUUAUCUUAGAGAAAAACAAAAUCAGUAAGACUUACAAUGUAGACAAGGAUGUCACUGUAAAAUGUCAUCAUUGCCAUCGGGAAGAGACUUCCGAUGUGUUAUCUGGAGCUACUCUUGGAGCACACUUUGAACAAAUUCUUAGCAUUCUGUUAGUCACUAGGACUGUGAGGAAGGUGUGAGCAAAAUAUGAUGUGCGUGUUACACAAGAAACAAAAAAAAAAUGUCAAUUCCAUUAUCCUGAUCCACGGGAAGCCGGGAGAGGAGGUACCUUACAGGUCUGAUUAUAAAAUCUUGAUUCUUCCUGGCUAUGAAUCGCAGUUCUAAACACAGAGCUGCAUGUAUGGACAUGCCCACACCUGUAGCAACUUCCCUGCUGGCUCAAAAAAAAAAUUGAUUUCAGCUUUUUCCUUUCUAAGAAAACACUGUUCUUUCCUAUUCUUGCAUGCCUGAGUCACCCCACCCCCUCUGCUCCCUAAAAGAUAACAGAGCCAGAUUUAUAGAACUAAAGUACAGGGUAUUUUAAGAACAAGCUGCCACUGGAAGUUUGCCUCCUUGAUGGUACUCAAACCACCAUAUCUCAUUUCCGGACAAAACUUCUCAUUGAACAGUAAGGCAACAUGCAGUUCCCAUACCUUACUCCACAGAUGUUGAAACUUAACCAGAAUUAUGAAGCUUUUGAUUGAAGUUUUCUAGAUACAUCAUAAAUCUAUUGAGGUCAUUGCUAGAGACAGACAGACAGACAGAUUGACUUGAUUUCUAUGUUUUGAUAUUUUUAUUCAGUUAUGUAACUACUUGAUUUGGUUUCUAUCUGUGUUCAAUAAAGAGUGAAUGUUA